rnacentral:rRNA from 1 species
AUGAACGCUGGCGGCGUGCCUAAUACAUGCAAGUCGAGCGAACAGACGAGGAGCUUGCUCCUCUGACGUUAGCGGCGGACGGGUGAGUAACACGUGGAUAACCUACCUAUAAGACUGGGAUAACUUCGGGAAACCGGAGCUAAUACCGGAUAAUAUAUUGAACCGCAUGGUUCAAUAGUGAAAGACGGUUUUGCUGUCACUUAUAGAUGGAUCCGCGCCGCAUUAGCUAGUUGGUAAGGUAACGGCUUACCAAGGCGACGAUGCGUAGCCGACCUGAGAGGGGGACGGCCCACACGGGAACUGGACACCGGGCCGGAUCCCUAGGGGGGGCAGCAGGAGGGAAUUUUCGGCAAGGGGCGAAACCCGGAGGAAGCAACGCCGGGGGGGGGAGGAAGGUUUUGGGAUCGAAAACCCUUUUUAUUGGGAAAAAAAAAAUUGGAAAUAAACUAUGCACGUUUUGACGGUACCAAUGAAAAAAGCCCCGGCUAACUAGGU